AUAUUUUUUGAAAACCACUGCUCUAAUUGAUAUCCUUUAUGAUAAAUCACCUCGAGGAUCUUCACAGUGAGGUGACAUGGGGGAUGCAGAAGCCAGGUCCUCAGCCAUGGAAGGUCUGGGGAAGGGGCACUGCUGUCCUGAUUGGGACGAUGGAGGCCUGGAGGUGUCUGGAUGGUAGAAGUCUUUGAGGCACAGAAAGCUGCCUUAGCAGGGAGGUGUAAGGGUUCCUGGGAGGAAGGUGGAGAGCAUGAUCCUGAGGAACAGGGAGUCUUGCAUCACGGCAAUGGAGGGACUCUGAUUCUAAGGGGUAAGGAUGCCUGAGGCUUUUCCAGAGAGCUAUGGGGUUCCAUGGGCAGGCUCUGAGCCUGUGCCCGCCACUAACCCCACUGAAGCCCGUCCCUUCAGGCUGAUGCUGGUGGAGGAGGAGCUGCGCCGGGACCACCCCGCCAUGGCUGAGCCGCUGCCAGAACCCAAGAAGAGGCUGCUCGACGCUCAGCUCCUCAUCAGGUAAUUCUCCUGGUUCCGCUUUGGCCACGGGCGGAGGACACAGGGGGAGGUGACUCCGGACCACUGCAGGAGAGGCAGCUUCCCCCCUUGGGUCCAACAAACCCGCGUGUGACGCUGGCCCCACCAUGGAACGGCCUGGCCCCCCCAGCCCCACCACCCCCACCCCGGCUGCAGAUUACGGAGAACGGCGAGUUCCGAAACACCGCAGACCACUAGCCCACCCAGCAUCACAGACCUUCUCUUCCUUUCCUGUGCACCCCACCCUGUAACAGCACCAACCACCAGGAUUGGACAUCACCGAGGAACAGCGGGAUUGCCUCCCCGAAUGCCUCCCUGGGAGGCACACUGAUUGCCCACCCCCCCCACUGCACCAUUUCCAGGAGGGAGAGUGGGGACCCUCAGCCGCCCCCUUUUCCUUCCCAUUGGGGUGCUGCCCUCUCUUUGACCCCCAGGGACCCUUGCCCCAGGACACCGCCUACCCCACACAGACCCCUUCACUCCGGGGUGCUAUCCCCAUCCUCUGCCUCAUCGUUCCCCUGAGCACUGGGGGACAGACCCUCACCCCCACCCUGGGGGUGUGGCACCUCCAAACUUUCAACUUCAGGGUGAUUUUUUUAGCAGUAACCAGAGCUGACAAUCUAACUCCCCUCCACCGCCCCAUUUUGGCCUCCCCUGCCCCCCUUGUUAUGGGGAGGGGACCCCGGGUGAGGGGGCCCUAUUACCCCUUGAUUUCUCAGGAGCGUCUGGGGGGGCUCAGCACGCACAAACUCCUCCUCCUUCUACCACUCUUAAAUUUACUCCCUCCCCACCCAGAACCCAGAUGGGGUGGAGGGGGCCACCGGGGCAGGGAGGGGGCGGCAAGGGGGGAAUGGGAGUUGUCUCCCCUUCUCCCCACACCUGAUCUGCUCUCGGCUGGUCCCAGAGCGGGGUGAGGGGGCUUAUGCCCCCCCCUCCCCCAGUGUGUUGGGUGGGGUGGAAUUGAGGUUAGGGUGAGGGGUCAGGGUUUAGGAGGGUGUGUAUGUUGGGAGGACAGGCUAGUUGAUCUGUCCUACUCUGACACACAGUCCCCCCUGCCCCUUCCUUCUCUCUUCUUGGUCUCUACUCCCAGGGGGAGGGGGGAACUUACUCUAGGAAAAGCCAUGUCUCUCUCCCCCAGGGUGGGGGGACCUGUGUUGGAGGAGGGGUGUUGGGGGGCCCCCUUCCAUGACUCUGUCCCCUGGGGGAGGUAGGACAGGGCUGGGCUUCCCUCUCAUCCUCCCCCUCCCAAUCUCCUUCCACCUCCCUCCCUCCCGCCAGCUCCACGAUUUUUCGGUGUUUCUCUGUACAUAGUUUUCUGGCGGGAUAGGGGAGGUAGGAUGGAUGGGGUUUGGGGUGGGUAGGCCAUGGGAGGGGAGAAGCCCCUCCUUGGCACCCCCUCUUCCCUGACUGCUGUCCCCUACCCAGCCUUGCCCCCUUCAUCCUUUUGCGUUUGGUAUUGAGACUCUCCUAGACUCUACUCCUCUUUCUUUUGUAUGGACAGUUCCCCUUCAGUCCCAUCCCCCUACACAUACACCCAGCCGGGGCCAAAUUUAUACUUAUAUAAAAGUUGUAAAUAUGUGAAAUUUUAUCCCUGUGCCCUUUCCCCACCUCAGGCCCUACCCCUGGACCCUCCCCAACCUUCCUUCUCUCUUCUUUGGCUGUUGUAAUUAUCUGGGGUUUGUACUGUACAUAUCCGGGGUGUGUGUGUGUGGGCUGGGGGCAACCCUUCUGUACAGAGCUUCCUGGCCCCCUCCCCCCCCGCCCCUCUGCUUCCCUCCCCACCCACCACCUCAAGGGUAGGGAGUUGCUCUUCCUACCUGUUUUAUUUUGUUUUCUCGUUCUCCCUCCCCACCCCACUCCCAGCCUUAUCUAUCCCCCCUCACUGUCCCCUUUUCUCCACUCCCAGCCCCAUUUCCUUUUUUUCUGGAGUGUGUGGUGAAACAGAAAAAAACAUGUUUAAUAAACGGAGAUUGUUCUUUUAUCGCUGUGCCGACUUUCUUAGGCAGGGCUCUCCAGACCUGUACGGUGGUAAGAUCUGCUUUCUGAAAGGAAGCUGACAGCCUGAGAGGAAAACCGUAUAUCCCCACCUGAUGCCACACUCUCCUCAUAGAAUGUCACUCUCCCCUCCCAAUGAGAUUUUUUAUAUUUUAGAGCAGGAGUUUUGCACCGGCCAAACUUCUCCAAUCUAACUCUCCCCUCACCACUGUGUCACUUAGUCCGAUGCCAGGAACAGCGGCGUUAUCUGAUAAAAGAGUUCAUGUAUAUAUCCACAUUUAUCUCUUUUAAAAAUUGCCUAGAAAUAAGGUUUCUUUAAUUGCUGGUUAAAAUGCUCCCGUGCAGAAAACAGGAAAGAACCUGCCUGGUUCCUUAGCAAAUCUGAGUUCCAGUCCCAGGUCCACUACUAUUAGCUGAGUGACGCUUCCAGCCCGUUUCCCCCGCCUGGAAACUGAGGACGGCAACCCCCACCCUCGCAGGGCCGGUGGGAAGACACAAAGUGAUGUGGGCAAGUGCCAGGCCCCCAUGGUAAGUGCCCAACUAAUCUCGCCCCUCUCAGGACCUACCGGGGGCGGGUGCUACACUUAAUCACCGGGAAACGCAGCUUUCCGGGGCGGCUGACGGCCCGCCCCCUCCGACCGGGCUGUUCUCUCCCGGGCCCUGGCUCUCGGUCCUCUGCAGCGGGGAGGACUUCGGCAGCUCCCCGGGACGCCCGUUGCGAGGGCACCCUGGGCCAGUG
rnacentral:lncRNA from 1 species